GCCGAUAAAUCUCCAAUGACGUCGGUCGUUAAGAAAUUCAUUAAAUGAAUAAAUUAUAAUUUCGCUUAUCGUAUAAAUAUGGCGUGCCUGAAUUUGCAGUAGUAUCACGGAAUUCGUCAGAUGCGAAAAAUAAUAAAAUUUGUAUGCAAUACACAGUGAUUGAAGCAUAUCGAAAUGAGAAAACACGAACGUUUAAUUAAUAAUUUGGUCCCGUUAUUAUAAACAUCACCGUCGCGAAAGGCGGCGGAAGUGAAAAUAUAAGUGAGCAAAUGACGGCGGGCAUUGACAAACGAGAGCGCGCGCGAAAACGAGCGACGUCGCUGACCCCGUCUUCGGGCGGGCGCGAGUUUCCCCGCGAGUAGUCCAUUCUCCCGGCGAGCCCAAAGCGAUUUCCCUGCUCCAGAGCUGAUCGAUGGAUUCCGCCGGAUCGGGAUUGAUGAGAGAAGAAUGGAGAGCGAGAAAGGAAGAGAUAGAAUCGGCGAUGGGGAGAAAGAGCCGCCGUUGAAAUCACGCAUCACGCAUUAAUCAAGGGGAUGCUGACGCGACGACCGUACUCUAUAAUAUCGCUUACUGAUGAUUUGUACGUAUAUAGAUCUUUUGCACAUGAUGUCUCGACUUGACAGCUCUAGACACCACAUACAACUAAGAGAUGAAAAUUUUGUUGGCAUAACUCCGAGCGUUAGACCAGUAUUAAUGCGUAUACUUCACUUCUGGAAAAGGAUUUCCAAAUCUAUUAAAGUAAUUAUAUGAAAAAAUCUCGAUACAAAAAUUAUUGUUGCAAAACAAACGACGUCAGCAUCCCCUUAAGACUUACGCCUGACUCCGAUCUGUUAGAUCGAAUUUGCACGAUGAAUUUAUAUGUA